CGGAGGAGGAGCCGUGUGCCCUGGCACCGAGCGGCCGUGGCCGUGGCGUACGCCUAUCUCUUCAGGUACAUCAUCAUCGGCGACACAGGUGUUGGUAAAUCAUGCUUAUUGCUACAGUUUACAGACAAGAGGUUUCAGCCAGUGCAUGACCUGACUAUCGGUGUAGAGUUUGGUGCUCGAAUGAUAACUAUUGAUGGGAAACAGAUAAAACUUCAGAUAUGGGAUACGGCAUUUAUUAAUACAGCAAAAGAAAUUUAUGAGAAAAUCCGAGAAGGAGUCUUUGACAUUAAUAAUGAGGCAAACGGCAUUAAAAUUGGCCCUCAGCACGCUGCUACUAAUGCCACACACGCGGGCAAUCAGGGAGGACAGCAGGCCGGGGGAGGCUGCUGUUGAGUCCGUUUUUACCGUCUCGCUGCCCAAAUGUGGCUCCUCACUUCCUCUUUCACUCUCCUGCUCAGCUGAGACAUGAAACUAUUUGAAAUGGCUUUAUGUCACAGGAGACUCUAAUCCUUCGAAAUUCUUGUAUAACUUUGAAUAAAUGGUUAAUGUUCACUUAAAAAAGACAGAUUUUGGAGAUUGUAUUCAUAUCUAUUUGCAUUUGAUUUCUAGGUCAAUUGAUGUGAUUAUUUUUGUUGAAUGUUGUCUUGUGCCCUUACCUACGAACUGAACUGUAUUAAACACUACAAAGUCAUCUUGAGUAUUUUAAAUCAGUUUGUGUGGUUAGGUUUCCCGACACCUGUGGACCUAAUGUUUAAUAUUCUAGAACUGUCCUCAAAAAGUUUGUCAGUUUUCAAGGCUAUAAGGAAAACCAGAAGGACUCUUUUAAUUCUGUAUUUAUCAUUUACUUUCUGUAUAUACAGUUUUAACCUGCUUGGGUGUGUAAUUGCCAAGCUUGAAUUCUUUAAUGCAUUUGCAUAAAUUCUAUACUGUUUAGAGCUUAAAGCUACAGAAGCAUUGUUAGGAAUUGCUUGGACACUGAAUUUUAAACUUUUUGACAUUGUUAACAAGCAUGUUCAUCUUUUCUUGUCACUAGUCCAAGAAAAUAUGCUUAAUGUACAUUACUAAAGGCUAUGUAUGUGUUAACCUGUUUUAAUGCCAAAAGUUUGCUAUAUGUCCACAGUUUCUUUAAGACCUCCUCAGAAAAGGAUUUGUUUGCCUUAAUGAAUACUGUUGGGUAGAAACACAGUAUAAUGAGUGAAAUGGGCAGAAGCAAGAACUCCCUACACCUAAGCGACUCCAAGAAGAAUGAAUGUCCACAUUUAGAUGGCACAUUAUGAGGACUUUAAUCUUUCCUUAAACACAAUAAUGUUUUCUUUUGCUUUUAUUCACAUGAUUUCUAAGUAUAUUUUUCAUGCAGGACAGUUUUUCAACCUUGAUGUACAGUGACUGUGUAAAAUUUUUCUUUCAGUGGCAACCUAUAAUCUUUAAAAUAUGGUAAGCAUCUUGUCUGUUUUGAAGGGGAUAUGACAAUAAAUCUACCAGAUGGAAAAUCCUGUC
rnacentral:lncRNA from 1 species